UACAGAGGGUGCGAGCGUUGUUCGGAAUUAUUGGGCGUAAAGGGCGCGUAGGCGGUGCGGUAAGUCACCUGUGAAAUCUCCUGGCUCAACUGGGAGCUUGCAGGCGAAACUGCCGUGCUGGAGUGUGGGAGAGGUGCGUGGAAUUCCUGGUGUAGCGGUGAAAUGCGUAGAUAUCAGGAGGAACACCCAUGGCGAAGGCAGUAAACUGGUCGACAUCUGACGCUGAGGCGCGAAAGUGUGGGUAGCAAACAGG
rnacentral:rRNA from 1 species